CCUCCUCCCUGGCCGGCAGGGAGGGAGGGAGAGGAGCUGCUUCCUUUGAAACCCGGGAGAUUUAAGAGACAUCAUCAAUAAGGGACAGCAGCGGAACACAGCGCUGGGAUAAGGGACUUUCCCGCCAUAUAAGGGACGGUUGACAGCUAUGUUCCAAGGUAAAAUCAGAAACCGGGACGGCUUCUGUAAAUCUGGGACUAGAAAAUUGGGAUAGUCAGAGGGGCUGCUUCUGAGGAGACCCUGCUCGUGGGUUGGCGACAACUCAGAAGCAGGCCUUUCCCCGAGACGGCGACCCCUUCCCCCCGAAUGCCCUGGAUCAGAUUAACUCGUGAAGCAGAGGCCAGAAUGACCUUUAAACGCCUCUUAAAAAUGUACACGUUUGCACCAGUUUCUCCUGGACUCUGCCUCUCUUUGCUGUUUUGAAGAAUGCUCAGUUUGGGUGGGAGCCAGUCAAAGUCGUUUCACAAAGGGCAAAGACUACUGGCUGCCCAAUAGAACUUCCCUACCCUCUCCCCUCCCCUCCCCACCCUCUAAAUCUUCUGGGGGGGGUUCCCCCCACCCUCCAGAGCAGAUUUUCGGAGGGCAACGUGGCGGCCAGGGCAGCGGCGGGAGGGGCAAUGGGGACUUUGCAUUUCACCUGCAAAAACCCUUCCGUGCGCGGGGAGAAUUCAUUGACUAACAGGCUUCCGUUUGUGAUUAUACGGUUGCAUUAUUAUUUGUUAAAUAGUUUUCAAUGAAUUUUAUUUAUCUGCUUAAGGAACAUGAUAUGGAACUGUUAUAUGAACUUCCUUAGAGGUUGGAUGGCCAUCUCAUAGAAUCAUAGAGUUGGAAGAGACCACAAGGGCCAUCGAGUCCAAAGGGCCAUCUGUCCUGGAUGCUUUAGCUGAGAUUCCUGUAUUGCAGUGUUGUAAACAAAAAUCUGCCCUUUUUCCCUUAUGGGGUAUCCAAGAGCCCAUAUAGCAUCCUUACGUGGGUUCCCUAUCGGUAGGAGAAAAUAACAGAGGCCAAUCAGAGAAUAUUGAGAAGCAAAGCAGCUAGUAAGCCUGAUCUAUAUUGAUCUGUUGCAACGGGGUGCUCCCCUCACACACAGGAGAGAGGAGGAACCCAGAACCCAGGUGUGCCUGCCCUUAUAUAGACAUUUUAAAUUCCCUGCCCUGGAGCUCAAGACCACCCCUCCAUACAUCAUACCUACAUCACAGAGAAGGCGGUCUACAACAGAAAUCCGAGUGUGUUGUUUAUCUCAUCUGACAGGUUACCUGUUAAUGCUCACUUGAUUGGAUACCCUGGGGAGCCUGGCCAGUCUUUUGUAAUGAUAAACACUUAGUUCCUGAGCCAGGUCACAGGCUCACCCUAUUCAAACACAGACAGACAUACCCUCAAGACAGGAUUAGUGAAGGAAAGGACAAUGGUGAGGCUUUUCCAUUUUCCUUUGACCUUGCAGAGAAAACAUUUGGUCAGUUUGGGAAUCAAAAAAUGGUUCCAGGUCGGUCUUCCUGUGCUGAUCUAUGUACGUGCUUGCUUGGUACGUUUAUGAACAUUUAUUAUAUAUCUAAGACGUUAAAAUUCUUAUCACAGCAGGGGGUUGGGCUAGAGGACCUCUGGGGACCCCCUUCCAGCCCUACAAUUCUAUAUUACACUUCAUAUUUCGCAGGAAAAGCCAGAUAUGAAAAAGUUAAUCUCCUGCCGUCACUCCAGGUGCCCUUUGUGCCAGUCUCCCAGGCCAGAAAAUGAUGCUGUGUUGCUUCCCGGUACCCAAAUUUAUCCCUCCCCCCUCUGUGCAGGCUUGCCAACUUUUGCCCCAUUGCUCACGCCUCCCCAUUCAUCUGGAAAACAAGAGUGUUUUGGUGCUUAAAUAUAGCCGCUCCCAAGGCCCCAGGCGCUGAUAAAUCGCCUUGUUUACGCCUCAUGAAUGUUUACUGCCGUCCUGGGAAAGAUGGAAAGAUGGAACUUUCACCCUGAUGUUGAGAGCUGCUGUUCAGACAACGUUCCCCGCCCCCCCUGCUUCUCAGACCUGAAUAUAAUAUACAGUGGUACCUCGGGUUAAGUACUUAAUUCGUUCUGGAGGUCCGCUCUUAAACUGAAACUGUUCUUAACCUGAAGCACCACUUUAGCUAAUGGGGCCUCCUGCCGCUGCCGUGCCGCUGGAACACGAUUUCUGUUCUUAUCCUGAAGCAAAGUUCUUAACCUGAAGCACUAUUUCUGGGUUAGCGGAGUCUGGUUCUGGUUCUUCCUUCCUCACAUAGGUGAGGAAUCAUAUGAUUAUAUGCUGUCUUGGAGUUUUUAAUUUGAUUCAACACAAGUAAUUAUUAAUAUUGAUUAUUUUCAGUUCUUAUCUCUGAGAAACGUAGAAAAUAACAGGAUAUAUUUAUCUGAAAACUUACACGACCCUUAAAAAAUUAGGUAAGGAACCAAAUGUUAUAUAAUACUGUUUUAUAAUUUAUGACUGUCUUAUAAUUUAUGAUAAUGUAGAAUUUAAAUGCAUUUUCAUGUAAUAUUUGAUGCUUCCAGCUGAUGAAGGUGAAUACAUCGAAACAGGACCCUGUCCUAGUUUCUGAUCCAUAACUGACUUCUACUCAAUGAUUAAAACUAAGACCUUCACGUCAAAUCUGAC